rnacentral:lncRNA from 1 species
GAACAUGGGUGGUCUUCAUUUUUGGCCAACAUGAAAGAAGCAGAUGUAAUAGUUAUAUUCAAAUAACUUAUAAAAUGAUUGGCUCAGUUAGAAGAAAACAAAUCUGAAAAGGAACAGAGAACGACGAGCGGAACCUUGAUGACGAUCUCAACGGCUCGAUGACUUAAAACUCUCAUGUACUGUCACUGUUUCUGCUGUAUUUCCGGCCAACUGUAUGUGUGUGUGUUCUUUGUAUUUAUUGUUCUCUUGGUUAAAGAUGAUGAAGAAAGGGUCGUUGGUUUUUUUUUUUGGUUAUGGAGCAACCAUGAAAGUUGACUCUUCUCUUCUGAAGAAGAAGAGGAGAUCGAUAGGGGUCUGUGGUUUUUUCUUUUUCUACGACUGGUUUGUCUUGGU